rnacentral:rRNA from 1 species
UGCCAGCAGCCGCGGUAAGACGAACCGUACAAACAUUAUUCGGAAUUACUGGGCUUAAAGGGUGCGUAGGCGGCGCGGAAAGUUGGGUGUGAAAUCCCUCGGCUCAACCGAGGAAUUGCGCUCAAAACUACCGUGCUCGAGGGAGAUAGAGGUGAGCGGAACUUAGGGUGGAGCGGUGAAAUGCGUUGAUAUCCUAAGGAACACCAGUGGCGAAAGCGGCUCACUAGAUCUCUUCUGACGCUGAGGCACGAAAGCUAGGGGAGCGAACGGGAUUAGAUA